rnacentral:rRNA from 1 species
CGUACACUCCUGCGGGAGGCAGCAGUGAGGAAUAUUGGACAAUGGGUGGAAGCCUGAUCCAGCCAUCCCGCGUGCAGGAAGACGGCCCUAUGGGUUGUAAACUGCUUUUAUCUGGGGAUAAACCUACUUACGUGUAAGUAGCUGAAGGUACCAGAAGAAUAAGCACCGGCUAACUCCGUGCCAGCAGCCGCGGUAAUACGGAGGGUGCAAGCGUUAUCCGGAUUUAUUGGGUUUAAAGGGUCCGUAGGCGGACUGAUAAGUCAGUGGUGAAAUCCGACAGCUUAACUGUCGAACUGCCAUUGAUACUGUUAGUCUUGAGUAAGGUUGAAGUGGCUGGAAUAAGUAGUGUAGCGGUGAAAUGCAUAGAUAUUACUUAGAACACCAAUUGCGAAGGCAGGUCACUAAGUCUUAACUGACGCUGAUGGACGAAAGCGUGGGGAGCGAACAGGAUUAGAAACCCCGGUGGUCCC